rnacentral:tRNA from 1 species
GCCUCGUUUGGGACGAGGAGGUCGUAGGUUCGAAUCCUGCCACCCCGA